rnacentral:rRNA from 1 species
ACAUGCAAGUCGAGCUGGACAGAUGGGAGCUUGCUCCCUGAUGUUCAGCGGCGGACGGGUGAGUAACACGUGGGUAACCUGCCUGUAAGACUGGGAUAACUCCGGGAAACCGGGGCUAAUACCGGAUGCUUGAUUGAACCGCAUGGUUCAAUUAUAAAAGGUGGCUUCGAGCUACCACUUACAGAUGGACCCGCGGCCAUUAGCUAGUUGGUGAGGUAACGGCUCACCAAGGCAACGAUGCGUAGCCGACUGGAGAGGGUGGUUCGGCCACACUGGGGACUGAGACACGGCCAGACUCCUACGGGAGGCAGCAGUAGGGAUCUUCCGCAUGGACGAAAGUCUGACGGACAACCGCGCGUGAGUAAUAAAGUUUUCGGAUCGUAAA